rnacentral:lncRNA from 1 species
AAUAAAUAUAGAGAGUUUAGAUGGCCAUAGAAAAUUGACUUACAAUACAGUGGAAAAUAAAAAUGCAAAAUAAAGUGUAGAGAAAGAAGGGACAAACAUGAAACAAAAGAGAAUACCAAGUCCAAAACAUGAAUUGAGUGUAGAAAAAAUGGAAAACCCUAAGUUGGGUUGUUGUCCAGGUACAAAACAUGAAAACCCUAAAUUUGUUGUUCAAAAAAGCAAAAAAAAAAAAAAGAACUAAAGAGAGGAGGGAUGUGGUCACAUCACUAAACUCAUUAAACCCUAGUUUCUCUUUGGUUUAUGACAUGGCCUAAAAAAGUAUAACCAUAAAAAAACAAAAAGUAAAGCAAAAAUGAAAACUAAACAAAAGAUGUGAUUGACAUAACAUAAAUGACAUGACACUCCUUUCUUCAACCCAAUAAUAAAUGUCCUAGC